rnacentral:rRNA from 1 species
CACUCCUACGGGAGGCAGCAGUGGGGAAUAUUGGACAAUGGGCGCAAGCCUGAUCCAGCCAUGCCGCGUGAGUGAUGAAGGCCCUAGGGUUGUAAAGCUCUUUCACCGGUGAAGAUAAUGACGGUAACCGGAGAAGAAGCCCCGGCUAACUUCGUGCCAGCAGCCGCGGUAAUACGAAGGGGGCUAGCGUUGUUCGGAUUUACUGGGCGUAAAGCGCACGUAGGCGGACUAUUAAGUCAGGGGUGAAAUCCCGGGGCUCAACCCCGGAACUGCCUUUGAUACUGGUAGUCUUGAGUUCGAGAGAGGUGAGGGGAAUUCCGAGUGUAGAGGUGAAAUUCGUAGAUAUUCGGAGGAACACCAGUGGCGAAGGCGGCUCACUGGCUCGAUACUGACGCUGAGGUGCGAAAGCGUGGGGAGCAAACAGGAUUAGAUACCCUAGUAGUCCCAUGA